UUGCACAGAUGACAUCAAAGAAGCAUAUAAUAUUUUGAUUUUGAACUCGUUUCUCUAGGUUUGUUUCUUUAUUCCGUAGCUUUGAAUUUGUUCCUAUUGAAAAAUGUGGUCGUUGUUUUAUCAACAAAGACGAUGAGGUCUUUUUUAUUUAAAAAAAAAAAAAAAUGUAUUCGCGAAAAUGAUGUUUAAUCAAAUCUCGUACUUGUGUGACAAAAAGAACGUAUAUAUGUUGUACUUGUUAGAAGAAAGUCCGAUGUUUUGUUCUUCAAUCUUGAAUAUAUGCUUACUCAGUUACUC
rnacentral:lncRNA from 1 species